AUACAGGACCUUUUUCUAAUGCUAGAGCUCUUCAGCGGGGCUCUGCGCAUUGAACCAACAUGCUCACUUUCAGAAGGGGCGUACUUGUCAUUAGUGAUGACAAAACACACCCUCUCUGGCCCCGCCCCCAUCUUGUAGGGCUGCUCUAAUUAAAAAAUGCCCGGGACUAAUUUUUUUCCCAGUCCGGCCCUGACUCUCAGAUAUGAAGUGCACCACAGGCCGCAAAUGUACUAUUUAGCACCCAAAACAAUUUGAAUUUUUCAAAGUGCGCUGUAAGCAC